ACCAGACAAAAUGGAUGAGAAGAUAUACAAACUGAAAAUAGAGGUUUUAUAUAAGGACAGGGAGCAAGAUGCAAGCAUGUCAAUCUUGGAUAUCGGUUUGCUGACUGGCUUUACCGUCAACACUAAUGACUUGGACUUAUUGUCUAAAGGACAUGCCCGCACUAUUUCAAAAUAUGAGAUGAACACUGCCCUGUCAGAAGAGGCUCACUGAUCAUCUACCUGGACAAGGU